UGUGACCGGAACGUAUUUAUUAGAUAUUAGACCAAUCGCAGCAAUGUGAUUGAGAUGAAUCAAAGUAACUGAUCGAAUCGUAGCUUGCUACGAUAAAUCAUCUAAGUUUCUGCCCUAUCAGCUCUCGAUGGUAGUGUAUUGGACUACCAUGGCAGUCACGGGUAACGGAGAAUUAGGGUUCGAUUCCGGAGAAGGAGCCUGAGAAACGGCUACUACAACUACGGUUAGGCAGCAGGGAAGAAAAUUGGCCAAUCCUAAUUCAGGGAGCCAGUGACAAGAAAUAGCAAGCUGGGAAACUAAGUUUCUACGGCAUUGAAAUGAGAAAAGUGUUAAUCUCUUAGCGAGGAACAAUUGGAGGGCAAGUCAUGGUGCCAGCAGCCGCGGUAAUUCCAGCUCCAAUAGCGUAUAUUAAAGUUGUUGCAGUUAAAAAGCUCGUAGUUGAACUUCUGCUUAGGUUCAUUUCGACUCGUCGAGUGAAACUAGGCAUACGUCUGCAAACUAAAAUCGGCCUUCACUGGUUCGACUUAGGGAGUAGACAUUUUACUGUGAAAAAAUUAGAGUGUUUCAGGCAGGUUUUAGCCCGGAUACAUUAGCAUGGAAUAAUGGAAUAGGACUAAGUCCAUUUUAUUGGUUCUUGGAUUUGGUAAUGAUUAAUAGGGACAGUUGGGGGCAUUAGUAUUUAAUAGUCAGAGGUGAAAUUCUUGGAUUUAUUAAGGACUAACUAAUGCGAAAGCAUUUGCCAAAGAUGUUUUCAUUAAUCAAGAACGAAAGUUAGGGGAUCAAAGACGAUCAGAUACCGUCGUAGUCUUAACUAUAAACUAUACCGACUCGGGAUCGGCUGGAAUAUAUGUCCAGUCGGCACCGUAUGAGAAAUCAAAGUCUUUGGGUUCUGGGGGAAGUAUGGUACGCAAGUCUGAAACUUAAAGGAAUUGACGGAACAGCACACCAGAAGUGGAACCUGCGGCUUAAUUUGACUCAACACGGGGAAACUCACGAGCGCAAGACAGAGAAGGGAUUGACAGAUUGAGAGCUCUUUCUUGAUUCUUUGGGUGGUGGUGCAUGGCCGUUCUUAGUUGGUGGAGUGAUUUGUCUGGUUAAUUCCGUUAACGAACGAGACCUUAACCUGCUAACUAGUCUGUCUGUGAAUAACAGAUUGUACUUCUUAGAGGGACUAUUGUGCAAGAAGCCAAUGGAAGUUUAAGGCAAUAACAGGUCUGUGAUGCCCCUAGACGUGCUCGGCCGCACGCGCGUUACAAUGACUGGCUCAGAAAGUAUUUCCUGUCCUGAGAAGGUACGGGUAAUCUUAUUAAUACCAGUCGUGUUAGGGAUAGUUCUUUGGAAUUUUGGAUCUUGAACGAGGAAUUUCUAGUAAGUGCAAGUCAUCAGCUG
rnacentral:rRNA from 2 species